GACGAACGCUGGCGGCGUGCCUAAUAUAUGCAAGUAGAACGCUGAAGCUUGGUGCUUGCACCGAGCGGAUGAGUUGCGCACGGGUGAGUAACGCGUAGGUAACCUGCCUGGUAGCGGGGGAUAACUAUUGGAAACGAUAGCUAAUACCGCAUAAGAGUAGAUGUUGCAUGACAUUUGCUUAAAAGGUGCAAUUGCAUCACUACCAGAUGGACCUGCGUUGUAUUAGCUAGUUGGUGAGGUAACGGCUCACCAAGGCAACGAUACAUAGCCGACCUGAGAGGGUGAUCGGCCACACGAGGACUGAGACACGGCCCAGACUCCUACGGGAGGCAGCAGUAGGGAAUCGUCGGCAAUGGACGGAAGUCUGACCGAGCAACGCCGCGUGAGUGAAGAAGGUGUUCGGAUCGUAAAGCUCUGUUGUAAGAGAAGAACGAGUGUGAGAGUGGAAAGUUCACACUGUGACGGAAUCUUACCAGAAAGGGACGGCUAACUACGU
rnacentral:rRNA from 1 species